rnacentral:lncRNA from 1 species
CAACGCACGUGAUGACACACGGAAGCUGAGGACGGGAGACGUGCAGAUGCAAUGAGGGCUUUUUCAACACAGGAGUGUGAAAGAUGAACUGAGGUCUGUUAAAGAAUUUUAAGAGUUUAUUUGAGCAAAAAAUCGAUUCGAAUGGGGCAUCAGCAAACCAGAAGUGGUUAGGAGCACUCCCCAGGCAAGAGCUGGGAGAGACUUUUCUAGAGAAGAGGGGAAGCAAAGUAGGGAAAUUAUUCGAUUGGUUGUAGCUUAAGGGGUUGCCUUUUUUGGAAAAGCUUGGUUGGCUGUUUGUGCUGGGUUGUCCGCAGGUUUUGAUGUCUUCACCUUGAGGCAUUUACAGGCUUAAGUUUGGGUUUGUCUACACUGGCUGCUAAGGUAUUGGAACCACAUCAGUCUAAUGGCCUCCUUGUUUAAUGAUUUUAAGAAGAGAUGUGAAAGCCUGUCAGUGUGCUGAUAGAAAUGAUCCAGUACAAAGGAGCAUCGUGGCUUGCAGAUAAUAUUGCAAGGAGAAGACUGUGUGAAUUCCCAGAGAAAUUGAGGGAAAAUGCAGUCCAUAACCCAAUUCAUGUCAGAGGGGCACCGUCUUCAUUAUGAGGGGAAGAAGUAGAAAACAGGUGCCAAGGGAAGUUGGUUUGUCAAUUUGAUAAUGGGAAGGAAGAUGAAGAAAUUGGCUGAUGAAAAAGCAAGCCCAAGUCGGAACCCGGGUCUGUCCCCAUCAAAGCAGUGUGGCCACUGAUGAAACAGCCUCUUUCAAGCAGCCUUCAGUUGCUGAGCAGGGUCUCUGCUGAACCUGGAGAAUCACUUCUACUCUGUGGCUGUAGUGUGCGACUCCUGGCGACCCUGUGCACAGCAGAGCGGAACCCUGCCCGGUCUUUCUGCACCAUCGUCUCCCCUUCCGGAGCUGUGCAGACAACAUCCACUGCUAUUCACAGGGUUUUCAUGGCCAAUUUUUCAGAAGUGGGUGGCCAGGUCCUUCUUCUCAGUCUACCUUAGUCUGGAAGCUCCGUGGAAACCUGUCCACCAUGGAUGGCCCUGCUGGUAUUUGAAAUCCUGGUGGCACAGCUUUCAGCAUCACAGCCACAUGCAGCCACCACAGGAUGACAAUGACAGAUGGGUGGUGUGGGUCCCUGACCAGGAAGUGAACCCAGGCCGUGGCGGUAAGAGCACCGGAUCUUAACCACUAGACCACGGGGCUGGCUACCACUAUUUUCCCAGAGCAAAAAUGGCCACAACUUUGCCCCAGCAUCGCAAGGGACAUCCUGCUGUCCUUCCCUCCUAACAAGAUCAGGACUCAGCUAUUUCAGCAAAAGGCAGAUCUAGAAGACAGCUUUCCUCAUUCUGAGAAAAAGGCAGAUUCCUCGUCUACCGUAGGGUGCCACCACAUCGUGGCUUGAUGAGUGAUGCAAGGUCCACACCCAGGUUCCAAACCUGCGAACUCCAGGUCGCCAAAGCAGAGCAUGUGAACUUAACCACUAUGCCCCCA